UACGCUUUUUUGUUCAAAAAUAUGCUGUAUCUCGCGCUAAUGAGCCACCGGAAUAUCUCGUGAGUAAAAAUAGCACAUGUAGUAUCAAAAAUAGGCUGUUUAUUUACAGAAAAUAGCGACUAGUGGAACGAAAGCGUCGCGCCGCGACCAGGCCUUCAACUGGACACGGCAAGUAAACAAAUACAAGAAAAAUACUACAAUGUGUCAGAAAAAUAUGAAAAAAGUAGAAAAUGUAUAUUUACAUGAAACGAGUCAGAUGGCAACGUUUCGGUAAGAUACCUUCAUCAGGCCUGACUCGUUUGUAGAGUAUUAGCAGGUUAGCACGGCAGGUAGGCUAAAGUCAACCUUUUAUCCUUGCAGUGAAAACAGGUAUUGCAGGAGAAAGGUGUUAAUAGCAAUAUAACAUUUAAAUGAAGGGGUGGGGUCCACGUCAAACACAAGUUGGCCUUCAAAAUAGAAGUCUUGACCACAACACAAGUGUAAAAAGAAGACAACAGUGACCCUCUGAAGCCCCAGGAUGCUACUGCAAAAUCCUGUCUGCUAAAACAAUAACCUGAAAUGAUAGACAUUGUUAUUGUUAUAUGAUAUAUAAUAUAAUACAAUGUAAUAUGGUAUAAAUAUUAUAUAAUAUAUUAUAAUAAAUAUAUAUGUGUAUAUAUAUAUAUAUAUAUAUAUAUAUAUAUAUAAUAAUAAUAGACAAACACUAGUACAUUCAAAUAGAAAUAAUACAGAAAGUACCCUGGAUGUGUGACCUAGGGCUUCAGUAUUAAACAGAGAGUUGGGAGAGGAUAGUCCCAGUAAGCUCCCCUUAGUGUAAUGCUCUGAAUGUACGUAUGUGUACCGUACCCGAGGUUAGGGUUAGGGUUAGGGUUAGGGUUAGGGUUAGGUUUUAGGAUUAGGGUUGGGGUAGGUUUUAGGUAUAUAUUCCCUGUUACCUCCCCUUAAUAUGAUGCUCCGAUUGUAUAUGAGUCCCAUCCCCAGGUGAGUAUAUUUAAUGCGUUUUCUGUCUGUUUUGGCAGGUCCAGGAGGGCGAGCGAGGGAGAGUGAGAGCCGUAAGAGGAUUGGAGGCACUGGCUGGUUAGGUUUGGGGGUAGGUUUUAGGCCCCCUGGAUGUCUGGUGCCCAAUUUGGAGAUCCAAAGGAGCUCCGCCCGGUGGCGUUGGGCGAGGCUCCAUUUGGGAUCCGUCUCUACGACAGUCGCCCGGACGGAAGACCACCCGUGUCGGAGAAAAUGCUGAACCAGACUAUGAAGGGCCUCGACUUCUCCGCGUGUCAAAUUGGGAGCGACCGCAGGUGCGCAACCCGAACCGGACAUGGAGAGCCCGUCGGACCGGACCAUAGCCUGGAAUUCCGGAGGCAUAAGUCCAGGUGAGGGCUCCCAGCCGGAACGGGCUGUGAACGGUGUAGGUCCGAGAGAAUCUUGUUUCUCAUAGUAUACCUCAAGUUUGACACGUCUGUGGUAGCGCUGGAGGUCAAAUUGAAGUUGAUGAUGCCAGUCGCUACUGAGAUUAGUGGAAGGAAUGAAGUUGAGGCCCUUAUUGAGGAGGGAGAUUUGUAAGGGGGUUGGCGUGAAAUUAUGGGCCAAAUUUACCACGUUCUUAUUACCCCCCCGAGCGAUCGGGAUUAUGGGGAUGCCAAGUUUAAAAAGUCAAGCCAGUGCUUGAGCAUCAACUUGGCCGUGUCCCGAGUCCAGUGGACCAGGUCGGGUUGGGUCUCAAAGUCCCGGCUGUCGAGAGCCGGGAUGUGAGCAUAAUUGUUCCUGAUUAAACUAUUCAGCAGCCCGAGGUUGUUUUUCUGCUCAACGGGCAAAGCGGCCGAAUAGUUAAUCAGGGGGAUUAGCACUCGGGCCCGUGGGAAGGUAGCCACGGCCAUCCUGAGUGCCCCUUGGAGCUGCUUAAUAGCGGUCUCCUUAACUUUCUGCUCACGAUGGUUGAUCCCAAAGGCUAGAACCAACACUUCAACCGGUGCAGCAAUUACGGUCUUGCGUAGGAUGGCCUCCGCGUGUCUAAAACUGGCGCCCGGGUAACUGUCGAUCUGAAGGUCGUCGACGUAAAAAGGUGGUAGGUGGGACAGAUUGGAGUCGCCGAUCACCAAGAAUUUCUUGUUGGCCGACAACUUCCAAUCCAUCAUCCUCCUACUCGAGACCAUGUGUCUAGUGGGUCUACGGGGGGAGGCACUAGCCGUAUCCUCUACCAACUCGACACAUUCUGGAAUAGACAGGUGUUGUGGAGUAUCUGGGACGGAAGGCCUCUUGUGUGGCUUCCUUUUUAGUGCCCCAGGGAACAAAUGUGCCCAAUCGGGGGACUCCUGAGGAAGCAUCUCCUGAGGGGGCGUCUCCUGAGGAGGCGUCCGCUGCAAGGGUGAGUCCUCAUAGUCCACCAUAGGAGCCCCGGAAAGUGUGGGCCCCCGUGGUGAAAAUUCACCCUGUGGUGCCGUCUCAUCUGCCGUCUCAGGCUGGAGAGGGGACCAGUCGGGGGUCGCGGAAGAGUAACGAGGGGACAUCACCGAAGAAAGCCCCCGCUCCUGUUCUUCAUCCCGAAAGUCGAUCAGGAGAGGCGAGGAGGCCGUGGGUCCCCCUGGUGAUCCCAGAGGAAGCCUCCUGCGAGAUGCAGGAAUAAGCUGGGUGGGCGGAGCCUCGCCGAGGGUGUCCUGGGCAGGCCCGCUGUCCGUGGCCCGGGGCUGUGUCAC